rnacentral:misc_RNA from 1 species
GAAAAUUUAGAAGUGAUGGGUUACUGAUAAUAUUCUUGAAAUUUGUAAUAAUGAAUUGCUAGGACCUAAAAUGUUGCACUAAAAUUCUGAUGUUUGCUCGGCAUAAAAUCCUUAAUUUUUAUUAAUUUCCAGUGAUAAAAUAUUUGCUAGUUACUUUCUUUUCAUGUUUAUCAUUUCUGUAGAGAACGAUGAUUUUGUCUGCAGAAUAUUUUUUAUUUUCCUUGAAAAAGAAUUAGGGUAAUAUAUGGUGCAUGGUUAUCAUUUGAGCAUUUAUUUUUAUAUGAUGCACCACUAUCCCUUCCCUUUUUAGCGUGAAGCGGAGUAUGGAAGGAAACUCACAAAGUGCUUAUCUUUCAGCAUUUUAGCAUGAAAGGCUGGUUCAGGCCUCCAUUUGCUAUUAAUUGAUCCGGACUUGCUUGUUCAAGAAUUUCAGCUAUGGACAGGAUAACAACACCAUUACUGAUUGAUUUUCUUCUGUUCCUGUAGUUCUUGGAGCCUCUUGAACUCU